CCUGUGUGAUGACAAGUUGAAAGCUGACUGUAAAUCAUGAAGCAUUUCAUUAGCUCUAGCUGAUC
rnacentral:snoRNA from 1 species